CGAACCGCGACGGGAGAGCCCUCCUGCCGGAGGCGCCGAAGGAGCAACCCUCCCCGGGAAACUCUCAGGCCCCUGUACCGCCGUGGUGAG
rnacentral:ncRNA from 2 species